rnacentral:rRNA from 1 species
UGGGGAAUAUUGCACAAUGGGCGCAAGCCUGAUGCAGCCAUGCCGCGUGUGUGAAGAAGGCCUUCGGGUUGUAAAGCACUUUCAGCGGGGAGGAAGGCGAUAAGGUUAAUAACCUUGUCGAUUGACGUUACCCGCAGAAGAAGCACCGGCUAACUCCGUGCCAGCAGCCGCGGUAAUACGGAGGGUGCAAGCGUUAAUCGGAAUUACUGGGCGUAAAGCGCACGCAGGCGGUCUGUCAAGUCGGAUGUGAAAUCCCCGGGCUUAACCUGGGAACUGCAUUCGAAACUGGCAGGCUAGAGUCUUGUAGAGGGGGGUAGAAUUCCAGGUGUAGCGGUGAAAUGCGUAGAGAUCUGGAGGAAUACCGGUGGCGAAGGCGGCCCCCUGGACAAAGACUGAUGCUCAGGUGCGAAAGCGUGGGGAGCAAACAGG